AGCCUGAACGCUGGCGGCGUGGCUAAGACAUGCAAGUCGUACGGGGUCCGCAAGGACCCAGUGGCGAACGGGUGAGUAAUGUAUCGCUAACGUACCCCUAUGUCUGGGAUAGCCGGGGGAAACUCCGGGUAAUACCAGGUGACAUCACUUUUUCGCAUGGAGAAGUGCUCAAAGGGAAACCGCAAAAGGGGAGCGGGCGAGUAUACGGUAUCAGCUAGUUGGUGAGGUAACGGCUCACCAAGGCGACGACGCGUAGCCGGACUGAGAGGUCGGCCGGCCACAUUGGGACUGAGACACUGCCCAGACUCCUACGGGGGGCUGCAGUAACGAAUCUUCCGCAAUGCACGCAAGUGUGACGGAGCGACGCCGCGUGUGGGACGAAGUCCUUCGGGAUGUAAACCACUGUCAGGGGUUACCAAGUUCUGAGGAGCCCCAGAGGAAGGCACGGCUAACUCUGUGCCAGCAGCCGC
rnacentral:rRNA from 1 species